AGGCCCAGUAUCCGAUUACCAGCAUGGCAGAAUUGCAAAGGAAACUAAAUGCGCACCGUAGAUUUUUCAUAAUGAAGUUGAGACCUGAUAUAAAGACUGCUGGGGAGUAGGCUGUGCAGAGGAACCCUUCUAUCAAGGACGUGGACCGCUGACUUCCUUCCAGUUUAUUCUUUCUCUUCCUUUCUUCUUUAUUUGACUUAUAAGACAUAUUCUCCUAACACUCCUUUGUAAAGACAAAGGGAAGAUCGUGCAUCCAGCCAUCUAUCCCCUGAAAUGCUAAAAAAAAAAAAGGACUAAAUUUGAUCCUUGGACUGUGCUUGACCAUCCAAAGAUUCCAAACCUGGAGCAGGUCCCUCAGGCUCACCGAACUACACUCCAGAAUCAAGGCCAUUGCUGGACUUCAGGAGUUAUGACUCAAAACAGAUCAACCAUAUGUGUGAUUGAAUCUAUUACAGAGAUACUGUUGAGCAUUUUACCCUCACUUGCAUGUGUUUUCCAUGAGCUCCCUUUCACCAUCACUCUUACCAACCACCCAGUGGGGAAAUUUCUCUAAGCCCUGGCCUCACCAACCAGCAUUUGGUUCAUUUGUGUCCUAAGGCCGUUGUACUGGGUGCCAGGAAAUGCCAAGCCAAGUACAGAAGUGCGGUGGGGAAGGUGUUAAUGUGGUCCCUGCUUUUAGUUUUUUUCUUCUCUUUUCUCUCAUUUCUCCAGUUUCCUCAUUAAGUGCUUUACCAAAUGCGACGUUAUAAGCCAUCAUGAAAAAUUUCUGGAAAGAUGAGUGUAGAUAAAAAGGAAAGAAGAGAGAAAGGAGAGGAAGGGAAAAGGAGAGCAGGAGUGUGGCAUUCUCUCUCCUGCUCCAGGGACUUUUCGACAGAAAACUCUCUCUUAUUAAUCUUUAAUUUUUUUCACAUUUUCUAAGA